UAGUGUAUUUUCUGGGGUGUUUCCCUUGGGUUUCCAGCCGCUCACAGACAGCGUGUUUUCGAAUUACUAUAUACGAAUUUAAUUGGGAAGUCCACUAUUGAAGAAGGUUGUGGGGUCAUUGCCAGAUCAAAUUCAUUUGGAAGCCGAGAAAGUUUAAUUUUAAAUUAUGAUAAAAUUAAGAAUUUUUUGUGGGAUCGGUUAUAGGUUGCUUAACCAAGUUAGAAAGCUAAAUAAUCUGAAAUAAUACUAUUGACUAAAUGGUCUAUGUAGGAUUGAAUGUAUAAAGUAAUUGUUGAACUGAGA